rnacentral:rRNA from 1 species
AGCGAACGCUGGCGGCAGGCCUAACACAUGCAAGUCGAACGAACUCUUCGGAGUUAGUGGCGGACGGGUGAGUAACACGUGGGAACGUGCCUUUAGGUUCGGAAUAACUCAGGGAAACUUGUGCUAAUACCGAAUGUGCCCCUCGGAGGAAAGAUUUAUCGCCUUUAGAGCGGCCCGCGUCUGAUUAGCUAGUUGGUGAGGUAAAGGCUCACCAAGGCGACGAUCAGUAGCUGGUCUGAGAGGAUGAUCAGCCACAUUGGGACUGAGACACGGCCCAAACUCCUACGGGAGGCAGCAGUGGGGAAUCUUGCGCAAUGGGCGAAAGCCUGACGCAGCCAUGCCGCGUGAAUGAUGAAGGUCUUAGGAUUGUAAAAUUCUUUCACCGGGGACGAUAAUGACGGUACCCGGAGAAGAAGCCCCGGCUAACUUCGUGCCAGCCGCCGCAGUAAUAC